GAUGAACGCUGGCGGCGUGCCUAAUACAUGCAAGUCGAGCGAACGGACGAGAAGCUUGCUUCUCUGAUGUUAGCGGCGGACGGGUGAGUAACACGUGGAUAACCUACCUAUAAGACUGGGAUAACUUCGGGAAACCGUAGCUAAUACCGGAUAAUAUUUUGAACCGCAUGGUUCAAAAGUGAAAGACGGUCUUGCUGUCACUUAUAGAUGGAUCCGCGCUGCAUUAGAUAGUUGGUAAGGUAACGGCUUACCAAGGCAACGAUGCCUAGCCGACCUGAGAGGGUGAUCGGCCACACUGGAACUGAGACACGGUCCAGACUCCUACGGGAGGCAGCAGUAGGGAAUCUUCCGCAAUGGGCGAAAGCCUGACGGAGCAACGCCGCGUGAGUGAUGAAGGUCUUCGGAUCGUAAAACUCUGUUAUUAGGGAAGAACAUAUGUGUAAGUAACUGUGCACAUCUUGACGGUACCUAAUCAGAAAGCCACGGCUAACUACGUG
rnacentral:rRNA from 1 species